AGUGAACGCUGGCGGUAGGCUUAACACAUGCAAGUCGAACGGCAGCACAGUAAGAGCUUGCUCUGACGGGUGGCGAGUGGCGGACGGGUGAGGUAUACACCGGAACCUACUCUUUCGUGGGGGAUAACGCAGGGAAACUUACGCUAAUACCGCAUACGACCUACGGGUGAAAGCAGGGGAUCUUCGGACCUUGCGCGAUUGAAUGAGCCGAUGUCGGAUUAGCUAGUUGGCGGGGUAAAGGCCCACCACGGCGACGAUCCGUAGCUGGUCUGAGAGGAUGAUCCACCCCCCUGGACCUUGGCCACGGUCCCGCCUCCUCAGCGGUGGACCAGUGGGGAAUGUUGGACACUUGGCGCAAGCCUGCUCCAGCCAUACCGCGUGGGUGAAGCAGGCUUUCGGGUUGUCAGGCCCUUUUUUUGGGAACGAAAAGCACCAGGUUCCUACCCCGCUGUUCUGCCGGUCCCCCACGCAUAAGCACCGGCUACCUCCGUG
rnacentral:rRNA from 1 species